GAUGAACGCUAGCGACAGGCUUAACACAUGCAAGUCGAGGGGAAACAACAUCGAAAUCUUGCUUUUGAUGUGCGGCGACCGGGGCACGGGUGAGUAACGCGUAUCCAACCUGCCCAUCAGUUGGGAAUAACCUUGCGAAAGUAAGACUAAUAACCAAUUAUAUCCCACGAAGGCAUCGGAAUGGGAUGAAAGUUUUAUCGGUGAUGGAUGGGGAUGCGUCUGAUUAGCUUGUUGGCAGGGUAACGGCACACCAAGGCAACGAUCAGUAGGUGUUCUGAGAGGCAGCUACACUACAUCGGAACUGCGGUACGGUCCCAACUGCUACGGGACGCAGCAGUGAGUACUAUUGGUCACUGGGCGAGAGCCUGAACCAGCCACGUAGCGUACAGGAUGCCGGCCAUAUUGGUUCUAAACUGUUUGUAUAAGGGAAUAAAGUGGGUAUCGUGACACUUCUUGACUGUACCUUAUGAAUAAGGACCGGCUAAUUCCGUG
rnacentral:rRNA from 1 species